ACUUAUACCCUUUCCCCUGAACUAAACACGCGGACACACACAAACUAGGGUUUCAGAUUUCAAAACAUUUCAAAACGCCGCUUCCCUACUCCUCUCUCUCUCUCUCUGGCGAUUCAACGAUUUCACCAGAUCUGCUCCUCUCUUUCUGGCGAUUCAGGAACGAUUUCACCAGAUCUAUGAAGUUUCAACAGAUCGAUAAAGAUUCUGACCUCCUGGUUCCGUUUUCCAGCUUUUAUUGGCGUUUUGCAACAUUCGUCAAGGGUCAUGGUUUGAAGACUAGAUCUGGUGAAGAAUAAUAAGAAUACUCGGAAGGAGACAACAAAAUCAUGGAGAAGAAUCAGAUCUCGGUGGUUGGAGUUCCAGAUGCGAUUCCCGUCAAGUAUAUUGAGGUGACCGAGGUUUUCGACUACUGAUCUAUUUCUGCACGUAUGUUCUUCAGACAAUCAAGGUUGUUGAGGACUAAUGAGGCGAUUCCAUGUGAUGGUAUGGUAGAGAAGUAAUACAUCUGCUACAGGGUAUGGAAAGGCUACUUUGUUAAGAAGGGUCUUAAUUAUGCCCCAAAAAGAAGGAAGCCUGCCACCGGUUUAAGAAGAGAAAAUCUGCAAAGAUUGUGGAGAUUCUUAAAGAUCAUACAUCUUGGUUUCGAGACUGCCAGAAUCUUGAAGUUUUGACGAUGUUACCUGCUGGAAAUGGUGGAACUAUUGAACUUGUUUAUAUGCAGGUCUAUGCUCCAACCACACUGGCUCCAGCACGGGAUUUCUGGACUCUCAGAUAUACUACAAGUUUAGAAAACGGUAGUCUUGUGGUGUGAGAGAGGUCCCUUUCUGGCUCUCUUUGGUCCGGUUAACAGUUUGAAUGUCGAUGGGAAUCUUGGAGGUGAUCAGAAUCAACGAAUUGGAUGUGUGGCACUUUUUGGGUGUGUUUGGUUGCAGGCUUUUGUAGUCACAUUAGAAACCAACUCAUUUACAAUAUUGCAACACAUUGCCAUAUGGGGGAAUUUAGUAGUUUACAACUGGAUUGUGAGCGCAUUGCCACGGUCUGGGAUGUACACCAUCAUGUAUCGCCUGUGUAGACAGCCGACUUACUGGAACACCAUGUUUGUAAGUAAUCCACCCUUUAUUAUUUGUUAUAUUGUUUGGUAAUCAUUAUUUUUUUAUUAACAUAUUUUCGACAUCUACAUUGCGUGAGACGCUGCCAAAUCAUGAAUCCGUAUGCAAAAAACCAAGUGAAUUCAAGAAAAACUGCAAUUCUGCUGACGUGUCGCAUCUGAAGCUGACCUGGCGUAACUCGAUGACAUGGAAACAAACUGGAAGUAGACUCAAAUGCAGGGUACUAGAUGUUAAAAACACCGAUGCUUUCUUGAAAUGGCGAUUGUUUUAGCUUGAUGAUGUGAUUGAAGCACAACAGUUUGAUAGAGAGAUCUUGAAUGCUAUAUUCGAAGUGGCACGUGAAAUGGAAACGAUUGAGAAAAAGUCAUGUGGGAAUCAAAUCUUAAAAGUCUUUUUAAUGGCUACUCUUUUUUACGAGCCUUCGACGAGAACCAGGCUUUCGUUUGAGUCAGCGAUGAAGCAGUUGGGUGGUGAAGUUUUGACAACAGAAAAUGCGCGUGAAUUUUCAUCUGCUGCAAAAGGAGACACUAGAAGUUUUGAUGGAUAUAGAGCAAUGGUUGAAACGUUUCUAGAUGUGGAGGUAACGGGCUUGGACUGAUACGGUCAGCCUAUAAAGGUGAGUGGUUCGGGCUGGCAGGCCUGAAUAUUAUAGCACGAGUGUGAUCAUCUAGCAGGGACUUUGUAUGUUGACAAGAUGGUUAAACAGACGUUUAUGACUACAGUUGCCUUUAGCUAAUGGCUGCCCUAAGCCUGACGUUUGAUAGCAUUAUAGUUGGAUGUUCUUGCCCGAUGUACUGCAAUUUAUGCAGAUUUUGUAGGAUGAAUUGUAUUUCUUCUGGAUCGUUAUUUUAAUUGUGUCUAAAAUCAUAUCUAUAAGAUUAUUAAUUUAGUUAAUUCCAAGUAAAGGAAAAUACAUGUUCAUGUG